rnacentral:rRNA from 1 species
CAGUCGCCGCGGGAAUACAGAGGGUGCGAGCGUUAAUCGGAUUUACUGGGCGUAAAGCGUGCGUAGGCGGCUUCUUAAGUCGGAUGUGAAAUCCCUAAGCUUAACUUAGGAAUUGCAUUCGAUACUGGGAAGCUAGAGUAUGGGAGAGGAUGGUAGAAUUCCAGGUGUAGCGGUGAAAUGCGUAGAGAUCUGGAGGAAUACCGAUGGCGAAGGCAGCCAUCUGGCCUAAUACUGACGCUGAGGUACGAAAGCAUGGGGAGCAAACAGGAUUAGAUACCCCUGUAGUCCCUGUCUCUUAUAC